rnacentral:rRNA from 1 species
AAUCAACGCUGGCGGCGUGCCUCAGACAUGCAAGUCGAACGAUUAAACUUUCCUUCGGGGAAAGAUAUAAAGUGGCGCACGGGUGAGUAACACGUAAGUAAUCUACCUUCGAGUGGGGAAUAACGUUCGGAAACGAACGCUAAUACCGCAUAAUGCAGCGGCACCUAAUGGUGACAGUUGUUAAAGGAGCAAUUCGCUUGAAGAGGAGCUUGCGGCAGAUUAGCUAGUUGGUAAGGUAACGGCUUACCAAGGCUACGAUCUGUAACCGGUCUAAGAGGACGGUCGGUCACACUGACACUGAAUAACGGGUCAGACUCCUACGGGAGGCAGCAGUCGGGAAUUUUGGGCAAUGGGCGAAGCCUGACCCAGCAACGCCGCGUGAAGGAUGAAGUAUUUCGGUAUGUAAACUUCGAAAGAAUGGGAAGAAUCAAUGACGGUACCAUUUAUAA